GAUCUUUUUCAAACUGCAUGCUUUUGUCUGCCUCUGAGUCACAACAUUGUGCAUAAAGAAAUACUCAGAAAUGCAAUUUUAGGAUUAAUCAUCUUUAUUUAUGUCCUUCAUCUGAGAAAAAACCCACCAAAAACAUGAUUUUCAUCUGAGUCAUAAACUGGAAAUUCAACCGGAAACCGGAGAUUCAAAAAAAGAACUAAAAGAAAUUGCGACAAACCUGACAGAUUCUGCAAAACUCAAAGACUUUUGCUUUAGAAAAACUCAAUUUAGCAUGAAAGAGGAAGUUAUGGUGAUCAUUUUCUGUAGGUCAUCUCCUCCACUUUACUUCCACUGAAAUUCUGUCUCAGACAGAUUAGCAAACACCAAGGACAAAUGUAAUGUCACCUUCCAGCCGGGGACAAAUUUAGUUGUAUGAAUACACAAUAGAACUCCAUUUUACUAAAAAGAUAAAACUGAGACUUUCAGGAGCUGCACAGUUCAUAUUCCAGCAGAGAUGCAAAGAAGUACAGUUGAGAAUGCAAAGUUCAAUUGUGGAUCCACCAGAACAUCUUGUUUCAGAUCUCCAAAUGCCUAUUCAAGGAAGUCUCCACUCUUCUGCGAGGUGAGGAAACUCCCUGCCAAACCCACGCAACAACUGAACAAUAGGCAGAGGCCUGUCUGCCCUUUGAAGAGGUCCUCGCGGCUGAAUUCCUCCGGUGCGCUCAAAGCCCGCCACCUUUGUUAUGUCUGCACACCUCCUGGUAAAAACGGCGUGUUUAGAUACGGGGUUUUUUGCCCUUUUUGUCCCCUUUUGUCUCCCCCCACACCCUGUCAGCACCAUCCUGUUUGCCCAUCUGUGGGGCAGACACAGACUGAUGACAAACAGAGUGAAUAAAACAUGACGAUAGACGCCCGUUGCCCUGAGAUGAAGCCUUAGAUGGACAGUAUGUGGCAGGGAGGGGGUUUAAAAUGCAGAUGUGCGGCAAGAAGAAUUGUUGAAUUGAUGUGCUUGCCGCACAUCUGGGGCACAACAAUUCUUCAUCCUUCAGCCCUGAUAAAACAAGCUGCACCAGGUUGCCAGUCUACACUGCAAAAACAGGCUCUUACAGAUAAGUUAUUGGCAGAUUUUCUUUUUGUUCUGCAUACUUUAUACUUAUACUACUGUAUAAGUUUAAUUUUGUUUGUUUGUUUUUUAGUUUUCUUUCAGAUGACUGAUACUCAGGUGCGACUUCUAUGUGAUUUUCAAAAAAAAAAAAA